rnacentral:rRNA from 1 species
AGAGUUUGAUCCUGGCUCAGGACGAACGCUGGCGGCGUGCCUAAUACAUGCAAGUCGAGCGGACAGGUGGGAGCUUGCUCCCUGAUGUUAGCGGCGGACGGGUGAGUAACACGUGGGUAACCUGCCUGUAAGACUGGGAUAACUCCGGGAAACCGGGGCUAAUACCGGAUGGUUGUUUGAACCGCAUGGUUCAAACAUAAAAGGUGGCUUCGGCUACCACUUACAGAUGGACCCGCGGCGCAUUAGCUAGUUGGUGAGGUAACGGCUCACCAAGGCAACGAUGCGUAGCCGACCUGAGAGGGUGAUGGCCACACUGGGACUGAGACACGGCCCAGACUCCUACGGGAGGCAGCAGUAGGGAAUCUUCCGCAAUGGACGAAAGUCUGACGGAGCAACGCCGCGUGAGUGAUGAAGGUUUUCGGAUCGUAAAGCUCUGUUGUUAGGGAAGAACAAGUACCGUUCGAACAGGGCGGUACCUUGACGGUACCUAACCAGAAAGCCACGGCUAACUACGUGCCAGCAGCCGCGGUAAUACGUAGGUGGCAAGCGUUUUCCGGAAUUAUUGGGCGUAAAGGGCUCGCAGGCGGUUUCUUAAGUCUGAUGUGAAAGCCCCCGGCUCAACCGGGGAGGGUCAUUGGAAACUGGGGAACUUGAGUGCAGAAGAGGAGAGUGGAAUUCCACGUGUAGCGGUGAAAUGCGUAGAGAUGUGGAGGAACACCAGUGGCGAAGGCGACUCUCUGGUCUGUAACUGACGCUGAGGAGCGAAAGCGUGGGGAGCGAACAGGAUUAGAUACCCUGGUAGUCCACGCCGUAAACGAUGAGUGCUAAGUGUUAGGGGGUUUCCGCCCCUUAGUGCUGCAGCUAACGCAUUAAGCACUCCACCUGGGGAGUACGGUCGCAAGACUGAAACUCAAAGGAAUUGACGGGGGCCCGCACAAGCGGUGGAGCAUGUGGUUUAAUUCGAAGCAACGCGAAGAACCUUACCAGGUCUUGACAUCCUCUGACAAUCCUAGAGAUAGGACGUCCCCUUCGGGGGCAGAGUGACAGGUGGUGCAUGGUUGUCGUCAGCUCGUGUCGUGAGAUGUUGGGUUAAGUCCCGCAACGAGCGCAACCCUUGAUCUUAGUUGCCAGCAUUCAGUUGGGCACUCUAAGGUGACUGCCGGUGACAAACCGGAGGAAGGUGGGGAUGACGUCAAAUCAUCAUGCCCCUUAUGACCUGGGCUACACACGUGCUACAAUGGACAGAACAAAGGGCAGCGAAACCGCGAGGUUAAGCCAAUCCCACAAAUCUGUUCUCAGUUCGGAUCGCAGUCUGCAACUCGACUGCGUGAAGCUGGAAUCGCUAGUAAUCGCGGAUCAGCAAGCCGCGGUGAAUACGUUCCCGGGCCUUGUACACACCGCCCGUCACACCACGAGAGUUUGUAACACCCGAAGUCGGUGAGGUAACCUUUUAGGAGCCAGCCGCCGAAGGUGGGACAGAUGAUUGGGGUGAAGUCGAAACAAGGUA